UCAAAGUGAAGAAAUUCAACCAAGCGCGGGUAAACAACAAGAGUAACUAUGACUCUAUUAAGGUAUCCAGAUGCCUCAUUAUAUAAUUAGUGACAUGCAUGAAUGGAUCAUUAACGAUAUUCCCCACUGUCCCUAGCUACUAUAUUCUAGAGAAACCACAUCCAAGGGAAUGAGCUUGGAAGAAUUAGCGGGGAAAGAAGACCUUGUUGAGAUUGACUUUAGUCCUAACCCAUUCAUAGUUUGGGA
rfam:Picea glauca, whole genome shotgun sequence.